UGCGUAGACGGGAAUACAAGUUAGUUGUGAAAUACCUCGGCUUAACUGAGGAACUGCAACUAAAACUAUAUUUCUUGAGUACAGGAGAGGUAAGUGGAAUUCCUAGUGUAGCGGUGAAAUGCGUAGAUAUUAGGAGGAACACCAGUGGCGAAGGCGACUUACUGGACUGAAACUGACGUUGAGGCACGAAAGUGUGGGGAGCAAACA
rnacentral:rRNA from 1 species